AAUGCUAUAAGUUCUAUAUUUAUUUGAAAUUAUCAAUAGAACAGGAUGAUCUAUGUACAUAUUGGGUCAUCCCCUUAAAACCUGGCCUGCGAGGGCUUGUUUGACUAGACUAGGCUCAGUUAAAAUGUCCCAGAAACUCAAAUAAUCCUGAAACUAACUUCAAGUGGUUAGAAGGCAGGAUUUUACGCAUCUUAAACAGCAACAGUUAUUUACUGUCUGCUAGUUAGCAGAGAUGUUCAAGCUUGGAAUACAAAAAUGGAGCUAAAGAUCCUAGGAGCCUUGAUUCUCUUGAACCAAGAUCUUAAGUUUCAUCUCCACCAGACCGUACAGCAAGAGUUUUUAAAAAAAAAAAAUUGUUUAAAGUUG
rnacentral:misc_RNA from 1 species